UACGUAGGGUGCGAGCGUUGUCCGGAAUUAUUGGGCGUAAAGAGCUCGUAGGUGGCUUGUCACGUCGGGUGUGAAAUCCCAGGGCUUAACUCUGGGUCUGCAUUCGAUACGGGCUGGCUAGGGUCCUUCAGGGGAGACUGGAAUUCCUGGUGUAGCGGUGAAAUGCGCAGAUAUCAGGAGGAACACCGAUGGCGAAGGCAGGUCUCUGGGCCACUACUGACGCUGAGAAGCGAAAGCAUGGGGAGCGAACAGG
rnacentral:rRNA from 1 species